ensembl:lncRNA
CUGCAUCUAUUUUAUAUGGAGAGUCUCAGGCCAGACCGGGUCCUAGACACCAUUCCUGCAUCUAUUUUAUAUGGAGAGUCUCAGGCCGGGUCCUAGACACCAUUCCUGAUCUGGCUGCAUCUGUUUUACAAAUUCAGCCUGUGGGCCGCCAGUUGGGGAACCCUGCACUAGGCAGUUCUGUGCCUGAAUUACUAAACUAGGCUCCCUGUAGCAUAAUUAUUUCCCUGUGGUCCUGUUGAGGUAGGAUGUGACAAACGUUGAUUUGGGUUUGACCAGACACACCCAAGGUGUAUGUAGCUGUAUGUUGGUGUGUUUGUGACUGUGAGUACAGGUGGUGCUAGCUGUAUGUUGGUGUGUUUGUGACUGUGAGUACAGGUGGUGCUAGCUGUAUGUUGGUGUGUUUGGGUGUGAUUACAGGUGGUGCUAGCUGUAUGUUGGUGUGUUUGUGACUGUUAGUACAGGGUGGUGCUAGCCGUAUGUUGGUGUGUUUGGGUGUGAUUGUGAUUACAGGUGGUGCUAGCUGUAUGUUGGUGUGUUUGUGACUGUUAGUACAGGGUGGUGCUAGCUGUAUGUUGGUGUGUUUGUGACUGUGAGUACAGGUGGUGCUAGCUGUAUGUUGGUGUGUUUGUGACUGUUGGUACAGGGUGGUGCUAGCUGUAUGUUGGUGUGUUUGUGACUGAGUACAGGUGGUGCUAGCCGUAUGUUGGUGUGUUUGUGACUGUGAGUACAGGUGGUGCUAGCUGUAUGUCGGUGUGUGUUCUCCUCUGUUUGAAUAGUGGUCAAACAUGUAUGUGUUUUGAGUUGUGGUUUGACCGUGUGUGUGCGUGAUGUGUGCACAUACGGAGUAUACCAAACAUCAGGAACACCUUCCUAAUAUUGAGUUGCACCAGCCCCCUUUUUCCCUCAGAACAGCUUCAACUCGUCAGGUCAUGGACUCUACAAGGUGUCAACAGCGUUCCACAGGGAUGCUGGCCAUGUUGACUGCGUCCCACAGUUGUUAAGUUGGCUGAAUGUCCUUUGGGUGGUUAACCAUUCUUGAUACACGCGGGAAACUGUUGAGUGUGGGAUAAACCAGCAGUGUUGCAGUUCUUGCCAGAAACUCCUUAUUUAACCCGUCUCCUCCCCUUCAUCUACACUGACUGAAGUGGAUUUAACAAGUGACGUCAAUAGGGGAUCAUAUCUUUCACCUGGAUUCACCUGGUCAGUCUGUCAUGGAAAGAGCAUACUCUGUGAGUGUGUGUGUGUGUGUGUGUGUGUGUGUGUGUGUGUUUGACACUGUGAGUGUGCCGUUCAAGCAGGACAUGGUAUGUUUUCUCUCUCACCCUGCCGUGGAUGUGGACACUGUCUCUCUGCAAGGUUCCAGUUUAGUCAGUGAGCAGCGGGAGUUCUGCAACACCAGUCAAAGCAGGUUAUUUAUAGACCUCAGUAUUCAUUUAAGCAGAGGAGCAACAUUUACACCUCGUCUUAGAACGAUAGCCUGUAUGUACAUAUCGCUAUGUUUUUUCCCCCUCAUGUUCUCUCUUAAACACACACAAACACACACCCCCUCACCCUUCUUGCAUGCUAUCUCACCCUGCGUGUACAUUUUGUGUAAGGGAAGGGGAAAUGUAUAGUUUCCUGUCAGUGGUUUGGCCUUUAACACAGAUAACUGUAAUGUACUACAGCCUCUGUGUGCUACAGACUCUACAGCCUCUGUGUGCUACAGACUCUACAGCCUCUGUGUGCUACAGACUCUACAGCCUCUGUGUGCUACAGACUCUA